AUGACCACAUCACAUUGAAACACCAGUUCCCACAUGAUCACUGAAGUUAAGCAAUGUCGAGUCUAGUCAAUACCUAGACGAGUGACCACUUGGGAAUACAAAGUACUGUAAG